UUGACAGCCCUGGGAGACUGAAAGGCCUCUGUUUAUCCCCAGUACAGGUACAGUGCACAACUAACAAAAAUGAAACUUUGAGAUAUUUUACCAAUGUAUUUCAGCCCUACUCUACAUGACCAGGGAAAAAUACAGGAUGCUAGAGGUUAUUUUAGUUAUUCAGGCUAUGCAAUCCUUUGUCUUU
rnacentral:sRNA from 1 species